rnacentral:rRNA from 1 species
UACCGAGGGGGCGAGCGUUGUUCGGAAUUACUGGGCGUAAAGGGGGCGUAGGCGGCCUCUUAAGUCAGACGUGAAAUCCCCCGGCUCAACCGGGGAACUGCGUCUGAGACUGGGAGGCUCGAAUCCGGGAGAGGGAUGUGGAAUUCCAGGGGUAGCGGUGAAAUGCGUAGAAAUCUGGAGGAACACCGGUGGCGAAGGCGGCAUCCUGGACCGGCAUUGACGCUGAGGCGCGAAAGCCAGGGGACCAAACGGG